GGUUGAUGCCUAUUUAUAGGCAUCUUAGGAGGUUUCCAGAGUUCUUACGUGGGGGAGGAUAGAGGCCUUUCUUUUCGCCACUUUCUCUUAAACUGACUCCACUUUUCUUUUUGUUGCAGGAAAUGGGGGAGCCGCUGAUUUUGGAAUGAAUGCAGAUGGCCAAGUUUGUAUCCAGCGGGCUAUUGACAAGGCCGGGAAAGAGUUUGUCACGGGUCUAGAGUACAGGCGUUCUUCUCCAUUUGCCCAAUUUUCAUUUUGGCUGCUUCUUUGCUCCUCCGUGUUUAACUUCAGAAUGCUUGUCAUUACUUUUAUAUAGAAGAGGAAACCACAUUUAGCUUUCUGUUUAUUUUUGAUAUGACAAAAGCUCCUUUUGUAUC